rnacentral:rRNA from 1 species
UACUCGAGUGGCGAACGGGUGAGUAACACGUGGGCGAUCUGCCCUGCACUUCGGGAUAAGCCUGGGAAACUGGGUCUAAUACCGGAUAGGAGCCAUUUUUAGUGUGAUGGUUGGAAAGUUUUUUCGGUGUAGGAUGAGCUCGCGGCCUAUCAGCUUGUUGGUGGGGUAAUGGCCUACCAAGGCGGCGACGGGUAGCCGGCCUGAGAGGGUGGACGGCCACAUUGGGACUGAGAUACGGCCCAG